rnacentral:misc_RNA from 1 species
UUUCCGUAGGUGAACCUGCGGAAGGAUCAUUAAUGAGUUGUCAUGGGGUUCGAUGCUGGCAGCCAAUUUUUGGAUGCAUGUGCUUGCCCUAACAAUCAUCUUCCAAACACCUGUGCACAUUUUUGAGGGAGUCUUGAGUUGGUUGCCGCUCUUGGGUGAUUUUCUCACAUUCCCUUAAAUCAUUAUACGCUGUUAACAAUGUUGAACGUGCUCUGUGCCGCAAGGCUAUUAAUAUAAUACAACUUUUAACAACGGAUCUCUUGGCUCUC